GAGUUCAAUCCCUGGUACCAAAAACAAACAAACAAACAAACAAACCAAAAACCCAAAACAAAACAAACAAAAAGUCUCAUGGUGUAAAUUUGUGUGUGUCAAAAUGACUUUCCCCCAUGUAGACUUUGUCACUGGGUUCUCAUCCCUCUCGCUGAUAUUUUCUUGGUCCUGUGUUUCAGAACUGCUUGAUGUGGGAUCCCACAGCUGGCCUAAAUUCUCCUGGAGUGUCUCAUGAACAUCAGUACCUGGGUCUUAUCCUGUUAGAGAGCUGAUGAAUUUAGGGGUGUAGUCUCUCAGGAGUAGCUGAGUGUCCUGCAGAGUAGGCCCAUGGCGGAGUAACACACACCAUUCAUGAAGAGAAGACAAGGAUCCUUGGCAGCUCCUGGAAAGACCCAUCAGACCUUUCCUUUACUUACAGUUACCCCUCAUCCAGGACAACCUGAGGCAAAUGCAUUUGUCUCCUAAUUCUCCAGACUCAGCUGUCAAUGGACUAAUCAGCACCUUGCAUCCUUGGUGUAGAAGUGGGGUUGCUCUAAGUGCCAGGCUUGCCUGAGAAGGCUGGAGGGGCACUCAGUUUUCUUCAUGGUGACCAAAUAUGAUAGCAAAAUCUUAGUCCUUGUCCCUACCUAGUCCUUUUCCAAUACGGAGAAAAAGGAUUUGAGGAAAAAAUAAAAGUGUCAUUGCUAUGCUACAAAAAAAAAAAAA